GCCUUCGUGGUAUAGAGGUCAGUACGCUCGACGCGUAACCGAGAGCUCCCUGGUUCGAUUCCCGGGGAAGACA
rfam:Stegodyphus mimosarum contig121772, whole genome shotgun sequence.